rnacentral:rRNA from 1 species
GUGAGGAAUAUUGCGCAAUGGAGGCAACUCUGACGCAGCCAUGCCGCGUGCAGGAAGAAGGCGCUACGCGUUGUAAACUGCUUUUAACCGGGAAGAAACCCCAGGACGUGUCCUGGGUUGACGGUACCGGAGGAAUAAGCACCGGCUAACUUCGUGCCAGCAGCCGCGGUAAUACGAAGGGUGCAAGCGUUAUCCGGCUUCAUUGGGUUUAAAGGGUGCGUAGGCGGAGCGUUAAGUCAGUGGUGAAAUCCUGCAGCUUAACUGUAGACUUGCCAUUGAUACUGGCGCUCUUGAGUGCGCUUGAAGUGGGCGGAAUGUGCCGUGUAGCGGUGAAAUGCUUAGAUAUGGCACAGAACACCAAUUGCGAAGGCAGCUCACUAAGGCGAUACUGACGCUGAGGCACGAAAGCGUGGGGAUCGAACAGGAUUAGAAACCCUGGUAGUCC